rnacentral:lncRNA from 1 species
GGUCACUGAAAACAGGACAGAAGGCUCUGAGCUAUGUGCUCUGCUAAGUGGAACUAUUUUGUUUACAUGCACCAACGCCCCAUUUGCAGAGAACCACGACGUAAUCAGUGCAAGAUACACAAACAGAUCAUUUAUAGGAGUGGGGUGUGAGUAAUUUUGCAACCCUGCCGUAUAUACACACAGUCAGAUUGACUGUAGAUUCUAUCCCUAUUAUUUAAUAAAGGGAAGCAGUUAUUACACUAAUUUGUAUCUUGUGGCUACUCAGUGCAACCCUGGACUGACUGUAUUCCUAAGAAAA